CAGAGUGGGCAGUCCUCAUACACACUCACACACAAACAUUCACAUACAUCUUCACACACACCCACGCUCACAUACACACACACACAUUCAUAUACACAUUCACACACAUCCAUAUACAGCUUCACACACACCCACACACAAACAUUCAUAUACAUCUUCACACACACCCACGCUCACAUACACACAUAUUCAUAGACACAUUCACACACAUCCAUAUACACCUUCACACACACACA
rnacentral:lncRNA from 10 species